rnacentral:misc_RNA from 1 species
AAGUCGUCCAAGGUUUCCGUAGGUGAACCUGCGGAAGGAUCAUUAACACGUAUCCAACGUUAAACCGUACAUUCGCUUACAGAAAAUUGGUUGCAAAUCAUCGCCAAACAGUUUUGUUGAGGGACUUCAACACGUAAGUGUUUAACCAGAGGAAAGGAGACGAGAGUGUAGAAAGUGUGACUUUAACGAGCGGGUACCAGGAGGCCGACACGGCCGGUAUCGGAUCCUGGGCGUCGUUCCUAUAGGAACGAGUACACGUCCCUCUUGAGGGUGUCGCGAAAGGCAUGAUUUUACUUGUUCCGAAAGGUCACGUACUAACUGAACUGUUAACAAUGGAUCUUGGUUCUC